rnacentral:misc_RNA from 1 species
ACGAUGGGCGGAAGCUACUUACUGAUAAUGAUUUGUUAGGAACCUAUCGGAUCAAGGAUGGCGAUAAGCUCAGUUUUAUGAGGCAUGUCUCCAUCAGUUACAAUCUGGUCAAAACGCGAUCAGAGAAAGAGGACUCUAGUAAGAAUGAACCUAGCAUAUCAAAAGGCUGUGAAAGCAGACAACGGAGAGGAGAACGAGAGGGUAAUCACCAUCAAGAUGACUUAUCAGAGAACCAAAACAAUAUUCAUGACAACAACAGGGGUGUUGCAGCUAAUUGUGAGUCCAGGCUGGUCCAUUUGUUUAGAGGGUGGCUCCCAUACAAAUUGACAAGCCCAGAGAAGAGAAUGAAACAGAAGAGCAGGACAUCGAGUUCACG